UACGAAGGGGGCUAGCGUUGCUCGGAAUCACUGGGCGUAAAGGGUGCGUAGGCGGUCUAUUAAGUCAGUGGUGAAAUACUCCAGCUCAACUGGAGGGGUGCCAUUGAUACUGGUGGACUUGAGUCAAGUCGAGGUAGGCGGAAUUGACGGUGUAGCGGUGAAAUGCUUAGAUAUCGUCAAGAACACCAAUAGUGAAGACAGCUUACUAGGCUUAAACUGACGCUGAGGCACGAAAGUGUGGGGAUCAAACAGGA
rnacentral:rRNA from 1 species